GACGAACGCUGGCGGCGUGCUUAACACAUGCAAGUCGAACGGAAAGGCCCUGCUUUUGUGGGGUGCUCGAGUGGCGAACGGGUGAGUAACACGUGAGUAACCUGCCCUUGACUUUGGGAUAACUUCAGGAAACUGGGGCUAAUACCGGAUAGGAUCUCCUGCUGCAUGGUGGGGGUUGGAAAGUUUCGGCGGUUGGGGAUGGACUCGCGGCUUAUCAGCUUGUUGGUGGGGUAGUGGCUUACCAAGGCUUUGACGGGUAGCCGGCCUGAGAGGGUGACCGGCCACAUUGGGACUGAGAUACGGCCCAGACUCCUACGGGAGGCAGCAGUGGGGAAUAUUGCACAAUGGGCGGAAGCCUGAUGCAGCAACGCCGCGUGCGGGAUGAAGGCCUUCGGGUUGUAAACCGCUUUCGCCUGUGACGAAGCGUGAGUGACGGUAAUGGGUAAAGAAGCACCGGCUAACUACGUG
rnacentral:rRNA from 1 species